rnacentral:rRNA from 1 species
UACGGGAGGCAGCAGGGGGAAUAUUGCACAAUGGGCGCAAGCCUGAUGCAGCCAUGCCGCGUGUAUGAAGAAGGCCUUCGGGUUGUAAAGUACUUUCAGUCGUGAGGAAGGUGUUAAGGUUAAUAACCUUAGCAAUUGACGUUAGCGACAGAAGAAGCACCGGCUAACUCCGUGCCAGCAGCCGCGGUAAUACGGAGGGUGCGAGCGUUAAUCGGAAUUACUGGGCGUAAAGGGCACGCAGGCGGUUAAUUAAGUUGGAUGUGAAAUCCCCGGGCUUAACCUGGGAAUGGCAUUCAAGACUGGUUAGCUAGAGUCUUGUAGAGGGGGUAGAAUUCCAUGUGUAGCGGUGAAAUGCGUAGAGAUGUGGAGGAAUACCGGUGGCGAAGGCGGCCCCUGGGACAAAGACUGACGCUCAUGUGCGAAAGCGUGGGGAGCAAACAGGGAUUUAGAUACC